rnacentral:rRNA from 1 species
CCAAUAGCGUAUAUUAAAGUUGUUGCAGUUAAAAAGCUCGUAGUUGAAUUUCGGGAUCAAUAUAUUGGUCAUGCUUAGGUAUGUACUGGUAUUAUUGAUUUCUCCCUUCUGAAGAACCAUAAUGUCAUUAAUUUGAUGUCAUGGGGAAUCAGGACUGUUACUUUGAAAAAAUUAGAGUGUUUAAAGCAGGCUUUCGCUUGAAUACAUUAGCAUGGAAUAAUGAAAUAGGACGUUUGAUUCUAUUUUGUUGGUUUCUAGGAUCGACGUAAUGAUUAAUAGGGAUAGUUGGGGGCAUUAGUAUUCAAUUGUCAGAGGUGAAAUUCUUGGAUUUAUUGAAGACUAACUACUGCGAAAGCAUUUGCCAAGGAUGUUUUCAUUAAUCAAGAACGAAAGUUAGGGGAUCGAAGACGAUCAGAUACCGUCGUAGUCUUAACCAUAAACUAUGCCGACUAGGGAUCGGAUGAUGUUAAUUUUUUAAUGACUCAUUCGGCGCCUUACG